rnacentral:rRNA from 1 species
UACAGAGGUCUCAAGCGUUGUUCGGAUUCAUUGGGCGUAAAGGGUGCGUAGGCGGCGCGGUAAGUCGGGUGUGAAAUCUCGGGGCUUAACUCCGAAACUGCAUUCGAUACUGCCGUGCUUGAGGACUGGAGAGGAGACUGGAAUUUACGGUGUAGCGGUGAAAUGCUUAGAUAUGACAUAGAACACCAAUUGCGAAGGCAGCUUACUAAGGGGUCAUUGACACUGAGGCACGAAAGCGUGGGGAUCAAACAGG